GUGCGCGGGGCUUCGCUUCACAGGGCGUGGUUUCCCCUCACGUCAGAGCUUCUGAAGGAACCAGCAGCUGAGCCAGUUCUGGUAUAAUCAGGAGACAGCCCUGCGCCUGGCAGAGGAAGCCGUGGCAGCGGCAGGGGACGGUGGCAGGUUGUGAGGGCCGCUGCUUCGUGCUGCCUCGUUUCCAAAGUGCUGAUGAGAAAGCCCAUGCCAGCCCGAUUCUUGUGGGGGCCUGUUUCUCGCCAUCCCUGCCUGCAGGUGAGGGGUCGCUCCUCCUCCCCGGUGCCCGUGUGCCCGGUGCGGCGCGUUCCCUGCUGGCCGGCCUUCGUAGCUCAGGGCCCGGUGGGGGAAACGCUUGUUCGUUCGCGCUUCGAUUUCCUCCCCACUGUUUCUUCUCUUCCUCCUUGUGACCACCUUGCAUUUGCUGUUGGACUUGAGCGACGUUUUCUCUUUUUUCCAUCUGCCGUCUUUGUUGUUUACCUUCUGGGGAAAUUCCUCAGCUUUUUUCUUUUAAUGGCCACACCCCCAGCCUGUGGCAGUUCCCGGGCUGGGGCUCAAACCCGUGCCUCCCCAGGGACCCCUGCCCGCUGCCGUCAGAUUCUCAACCCACUGCCCCCAGCGGGAACUCUGGAAAUUCCUCAACUGCGUCUUCUUCCUCCUUCUGAGGCUCUUGGCGGCUUUUUAAAAAGUUGUCUUCUCCCUCCACAGCCUCUCACGCCUGCCUGCCUCUGGCGUGUGCUCCGGCCUCUGGGAUUCGAUCCUGCCCGUCCGUGGCUGGUGACCCUUUGCUCUCGAGCACAUUUCAGGCUGCGGUGCCCGCGCAGAACCCCCGGGCAGGCCUUCUCUGCUUGGGCGUCCGCGGCCUGCUGGUCCGGAUCGGCCGUUUUCCUGGGAACGCGGCAGUCGGCGUGUCCAGCCCUUGCCCCGUGGGCGGGUCGGAGCCGCAGCAGAGUCCUCUCCUGGCAUCGAGGAGCCCCCUCCCCUCGACCUCAUCCCAGGCGGCCUGGGGGUCGAGGGUCCCGACCUCCCGUGGGUUGCACUGACUCCUUGCCCCUUCCAUGCGUCCCGUCCCCACUAGCUGUGCUCGGCCCCCAGCUCCGAGCACCCCCCACUCCCAGUCUGGAGGCCAUCCCCGAGUUCUGCCACAGUGGAGGAGGCUUGGGGUAGGGGACAGAAUCCUGGGGUCGAAUUUCCUCUUAAACAGACUCGUAAAAGCAGUUCUCCUGCUUUUCACCCGCCUUCCUCCGCUGGAUUGAGUGCCCUGGUUCGGCGGCUUGCUGAGCCCUGGGGCCGUGGUGUCAGCCAGGCGCCUUUUCAGCUCUCCGGCUGCCAGGGGAGGGCUGGCUUUCCUGGGUCUGCCUGUCAGGUGUCACUUCUUUUGUCUCCCCUCACACCUUGCUGCUGCAGGUUUACUUUCUGAUUUUACCGAGCAGGCUUCCCUGGAGGAGCAAAGCUGAGUGGGUGCCGUCUGCCACCUUCAACUGCACGUCCUAAGGUUUUCUUUUUUCUGUUUAAAUUCUAUAUAGUUUGUUAGGGUUUCCUUAAUGACAGGGUUUUUACACGUAUUUUCUUUUUUCCAUCCGUAUGAGGGCUUUGGAAGUGACUUCUUUUUCAUCCAAGGCUGCCUCCGUGUUUCUAGGCGCUCCGUACUGUGUAAAGCUGAGUAUAAGCGUGGCAUCACUCCGUGUGCCCUGUCCCGGGCGAAGUGUUUUACGAGGGUCGUGUCGCCAAUCCUCACGCCUCUUGCGGUGGCUACUGUUACACCCUCCGUUCCAGCGACGGGUGCUGCAGCCCAACAGCUCACGUCCCUCGCCUAAGGUGCGCCAGCUGGCCUCCGCCACCGCACCACUUCCCCGUGUCACAGCCUCCACGGUCCCCGCUUCCUGCCCAGAGACCACUUUCCUCCUGCCGGGAGCUCGUGCUUGCGGUGAUGUGCAGCGAAGGGAACGCCGCCUGUUGUCCUUCCGCACAGGGGCGCUCGGCCUGCCCAGAGCUCCGGCAGCCAGCCACUGGGCCGGGGCUCGGCCUGCCCAGAAGCGGAUGUGAGGCCUCCAGGCCUCCUUCCAGGCCGGACGUGCUUUCGGGCGGAGGAUCCGUUGUCGCCGGGCGAGUGCUCCUCACCAGACACAACACGUCUCUCUGACGAAAUGCAGCCCGGUUUUAAAGUUCAGUGCAGUUUUCAAUAAUCGCCUGCGUGAGCGCCCCCAGCGUUUACCUGACGCUGCGGCGGCUGCACAGAGCCCGCUGC